CCGUUGCCAUCUAAGCUCUGAUUGGGCACUACUAGAACACUCCUCCUCGCACCUUUCUUUAAAUUGCCGGUUAGUUUUCCAAGAAUCCGACCCAAAUUUGAUGAAACAUAGGCCAAAGCUUUGAUUUCUUUCUUUCUCUGAUCUCCCUUUUACACCGUCAAAUCACCACCGAUCUUCAGUAUAUGGUACAUCGUGUUGUGGUUCACCUUACCACCAUUGGGAUUGUUGAAUGGAGAUCCGGAGUUCUAAACUCAAACAAAUAAGUCCUCAAUAAAAACCCUAGAUAGUUGGCUAUGAAUUUUCCUACUAUGUUUCGUCUAGUCUUUGAUGUCAAACCGAGCCACCACCGUCAAUGGCCCCGCCUCUAGUCAAUGUGCACCGCUUAGCCUCUUGUUUCUUUUCUUUUUUACCGCCGCUUUUACUAUCUAACCUCAGAUGAUAAACAUGUUUUGCAAAUCUAAGAUUUUUCUAGGUUUGCAAAACUAAGUUUCAGUUUGGAUUUGUUUUCUGGGAUUUGACUCCAUUUCCCCCCCAAUGGGUGAAUUUGAUUUUGGUUUUAUUUUUUGAUUGGGAUUCCAUGUUUAUUAUCUGGGUUGUCUCUGCUUUGAUUUUGUGUUGGGAUUUUGAUUUGCUUCGCUUUUUUAAGCUCGAUUUCAUGGAGUAAAUCAGGGGUUUUAAAAGAUUCAAUCUCAGAUACCAUCUCAUAAACCUUAAUUUGAAAGAAAACCCUAACAGGAAACCCCAAAUUAGCUCAACUCAAGCCAAAAAGGAGGUCAACUGUCG
rnacentral:lncRNA from 1 species